rnacentral:miRNA from 1 species
AUAAUGGCAGCCAUGCUUUAGCAGCACGUAAAUAUUGGAGUUAAACCACUUCAUAUCUCUCCAGUAUUGAUCGUGCUGCUGAAGUAAGAUUGUUCAUUUGUCAUC